rnacentral:rRNA from 1 species
AUCGAACGCUGGCGGCAGGCUUAACGCAUGCAAGUCGAGCGGAGAUGAGGUGCUUGCACCUUAUCUUAGCGGCGGACGGGUGAGUAAUGCUUAGGAAUCUGCCUAUUAGUGGGGGACAACAUUCCGAAAGGAAUGCUAAUACCGCAUACGUCCUACGGGAGAAAGCAGGGGAUCUUCGGAUCUUGCGCUAAUAGAUGAGCCUAAGUCGGAUUAGCUAGUUGGUGGGGUAAAGGCCUACCAAGGCGACGAUCUGUAGCGGGUCUGAGAGGAUGAUCCGCCACACUGGGACUGAGACACGGCCCAGACUCCUACGGGAGGCAGCAGUGGGGAAUAUUGGACAAUGGGGGGAACCCUGAUCCAGCCAUGCCGCGUGUGUGAAGAAGGCCUUAUGGUUGUAAAGCACUUUAAGCGAGGAGGAGGCUACUGAGACUAAUACUCUUGGAUAGUGGACGUUACUCGCAGAAUAAGCACCGGCUAACUCUGUGCCAGCAGCCGCCGUAACAC